CGCACGGGUGAGUAACACGUAAGUAAUCUACCCUCGGGUGGGGAAUAACGUUCGGAAACGAACGCUAAUACCGCAUAAUGCAGCGGCACCGCAAGGUGACAGUUGUUAAAGAUUUAUUGCCUGGGGAGGAGCUUGCGGCAGAUUAGCUUGUUGGUAAGGUAACGGCUUACCAAGGCUACGAUCUGUAUCCGGUCUAAGAGGACGGUCGGACACACUGACACUGAAUAACGGGUCAG
rnacentral:rRNA from 1 species